rnacentral:rRNA from 1 species
CGAACGGGUGAGUAACGCGUGAGGAACCUGCCUCAAAGAGGGGGACAACAGUUGGAAACGACUGCUAAUACCGCAUAAGCCCACGGGUCGGCAUCGACCAGAGGGAAAAGGAGCAAUCCGCUUUGAGAUGGCCUCGCGUCCGAUUAGCUAGUUGGUGAGGUAAUGGCCCACCAAGGGCAACGAUCGGUAGCCGGACUGAGAGGGUUGAACGGCCACAUUGGGACUGAGACACGGCCCAGACUCCUACGGGAGGCAGCAUG